AGCGUACACGGUGGAUGCCCUGGCAGUCAGAGGCGAUGAAGGACGUGCUAAUCUGCGAUAAGCGUCGGUAAGGUGAUAUGAACCGUUAUAACCGGCGAUUUCCGAAUGGGGAAACCCAGUGUGUUUCGACACACUAUCAUUAACUGAAUCCAUAGGUUAAUGAGGCGAACCGGGGGAACUGAAACAUCUAAGUACCCCGAGGAAAAGAAAUCAACCGAGAUUCCCCCAGUAGCGGCGAGCGAACGGGGAGCAGCCCAGAGCCUGAAUCAGUGUGUGUGUUAGUGGAAGCGUCUGGAAAGGCGCGCGAUACAGGGUGACAGCCCCGUACACAAAAAUGCACAUGCUGUGAGCUCGAUGAGUAGGGCGGGACACGUGGUAUCCUGUCUGAAUAUGGGGGGACCAUCCUCCAAGGCUAAAUACUCCUGACUGACCGAUAGUGAACCAGUACCGUGAGGGAAAGGCGAAAAGAACCCCGGCGAGGGGAGUGAAAAAGAACCUGAAACCGUGUACGUACAAGCAGUGGGAGCCUCUUUAUGGGGUGACUGCGUACCUUUUGUAUAAUGGGUCAGCGACUUAUAUUCUGUAGCAAGGUUAACCGAAUAGGGGAGCCGAAGGGAAACCGAGUCUUAACUGGGCGUUAAGUUGCAGGGUAUAGACCCGAAACCCGGUGAUCUAGCCAUGGGCAGGUUGAAGGUUGGGUAACACUAACUGGAGGACCGAACCGACUAAUGUUGAAAAAUUAGCGGAUGACUUGUGGCUGGGGGUGAAAGGCCAAUCAAACCGGGAGAUAGCUGGUUCUCCCCGAAAGCUAUUUAGGUAGCGCCUCGUGAAUUCAUCUCCGGGGGUAGAGCACUGUUUCGGCAAGGGGGUCAUCCCGACUUACCAACCCGAUGCAAACUGCGAAUACCGGAGAAUGUUAUCACGGGAGACACACGGCGGGUGCUAACGUCCGUCGUGAAGAGGGAAACAACCCAGACCGCCAGCUAAGGUCCCAAAGUCAUGGUUAAGUGGGAAACGAUGUGGGAAGGCCCAGACAGCCAGGAUGUUGGCUUAGAAGCAGCCAUCAUUUAAAGAAAGCGUAAUAGCUCACUGGUCGAGUCGGCCUGCGCGGAAGAUGUAACGGGGCUAAACCAUGCACCGAAGCUGCGGCAGCGACACUAAGUGUUGUUGGGUAGGGGAGCGUUCUGUAAGCCUGUGAAGGUGUACUGUGAGGUAUGCUGGAGGUAUCAGAAGUGCGAAUGCUGACAUAAGUAACGAUAAAGCGGGUGAAAAGCCCGCUCGCCGGAAGACCAAGGGUUCCUGUCCAACGUUAAUCGGGGCAGGGUGAGUCGACCCCUAAGGCGAGGCCGAAAGGCGUAGUCGAUGGGAAACAGGUUAAUAUUCCUGUACUUGGUGUUACUGCGAAGGGGGGACGGAGAAGGCUAUGUUGGCCGGGCGACGGUUGUCCCGGUUUAAGCGUGUAGGCUGGUUUUCCAGGCAAAUCCGGAAAAUCAAGGCUGAGGCGUGAUGACGAGGCACUACGGUGCUGAAGCAACAAAUGCCCUGCUUCCAGGAAAAGCCUCUAAGCAUCAGGUAACAUCAAAUCGUACCCCAAACCGACACAGGUGGUCAGGUAGAGAAUACCAAGGCGCUUGAGAGAACUCGGGUGAAGGAACUAGGCAAAAUGGUGCCGUAACUUCGGGAGAAGGCACGCUGAUAUGUAGGUGAAGCGACUUGCUCGUGGAGCUGAAAUCAGUCGAAGAUACCAGCUGGCUGCAACUGUUUAUUAAAAACACAGCACUGUGCAAACACGAAAGUGGACGUAUACGGUGUGACGCCUGCCCGGUGCCGGAAGGUUAAUUGAUGGGGUUAGCGGUAACGCGAAGCUCUUGAUCGAAGCCCCGGUAAACGGCGGCCGUAACUAUAACGGUCCUAAGGUAGCGAAAUUCCUUGUCGGGUAAGUUCCGACCUGCACGAAUGGCGUAAUGAUGGCCAGGCUGUCUCCACCCGAGACUCAGUGAAAUUGAACUCGCUGUGAAGAUGCAGUGUACCCGCGGCAAGACGGAAAGACCCCGUGAACCUUUACUAUAGCUUGACACUGAACAUUGAGCCUUGAUGUGUAGGAUAGGUGGGAGGCUUUGAAGUGUGGACGCCAGUCUGCAUGGAGCCGACCUUGAAAUACCACCCUUUAAUGUUUGAUGUUCUAACGUUGGCCCCUGAUCGGGGUUGCGGACAGUGUCUGGUGGGUAGUUUGACUGGGGCGGUCUCCUCCUAAAGAGUAACGGAGGAGCACGAAGGUUGGCUAAUCCUGGUCGGACAUCAGGAGGUUAGUGCAAUGGCAUAAGCCAGCUUGACUGCGAGCGUGACGGCGCGAGCAGGUGCGAAAGCAGGUCAUAGUGAUCCGGUGGUUCUGAAUGGAAGGGCCAUCGCUCAACGGAUAAAAGGUACUCCGGGGAUAACAGGCUGAUACCGCCCAAGAGUUCAUAUCGACGGCGGUGUUUGGCACCUCGAUGUCGGCUCAUCACAUCCUGGGGCUGAAGUAGGUCCCAAGGGUAUGGCUGUUCGCCAUUUAAAGUGGUACGCGAGCUGGGUUUAGAACGUCGUGAGACAGUUCGGUCCCUAUCUGCCGUGGGCGCUGGAGAACUGAGGGGGGCUGCUCCUAGUACGAGAGGACCGGAGUGGACGCAUCACUGGUGUUCGGGUUGUCAUGCCAAUGGCACUGCCCGGUAGCUAAAUGCGGAAGAGAUAAGUGCUGAAAGCAUCUAAGCACGAAACUUGCCCCGAGAUGAGUUCU
rnacentral:rRNA from 1 species